GGCCCUGUCGGUGGGGCGGCAGGACCAGGUAUAUGCCCUACAGGCUGUUCCUUCCUGUCGGGGGUCCCCCGAGCCCUCCCCACCGUCCUGGCUGGUGGAGACCAGAGGCUCACCCUCAGAGAGGCUCGGCCAGGCCGGGAGCUGUGACUCAGCCGCCUCUGGGCUUCCGCACGGCCCAGCCCAGGACUAGGGCGGGAGUGGGAUAGGCUAUCCUUUCUGCCUUUGUGUGCUGGGACAGGAGGCAGCUUGGUAAAGGUACCAGCCCCUCCCCCACUGCUCCGACCCAGGGAGCCAGGCACCUUCCCUGGGCCCUCGCCUCUGUAAGCAGCAGGCCACUGGCCUGAGGACCUGAGGGCCUGGCAGCCACUGGGGCGGCAGGAGCUGGGGGAGGCGUGCAUAGCCGGGGAUGGGCUUACUUGCCUGGGCUGGGGGGAAACUCUUUGCCAGCCAGGCCGCAGCCUCUCCACUCUCCCCGGGCCAGCCACGUCGUCCUAGGCAGCCCUCCCGCCUGCCACGUUUCAGGGCCGUCCUGCCUCAUCCUACCCUACACAGACAUGAACUGGGGCCAGUCGGGGCCACCCACUGGUGUCUGGCCGGUAGCCUGGAACCUGCCACUGCUCUGCCCUAGCCGUGCAUCUAACCCCUGCGGGGCCUGACAAGGGCCUUGCUUCUCUGGCCUCAGUUUCCCCUUUCCUAUGACACGGGCACAGGACAGGACAAGAUGAGGAAAGCUCGGAGAGACCCUUCGGGCCCAGGAGUCAGGGCCUCUGUGACCCGGUGGCCUCGAGCACAGCUGUCACUCGUUCGCCACAUUUGCAGUCGCUGAAAAGGCCUCAGCGAGGGAGACGGCGUUGAACAAACUCCUAGUCCUAGUCGUGCGGCCAAGAAGACUCCUUAGGAACAAAGGAGCAGAGAGGGACGAGGUGAGGGGUCACGGAGGGCCUUGCCCCCGAGGUGACGUUUAAGCGGAGAUGCGGAGGAGGAGCUGGUGCCAAGGGAGCUCCGGUCAUGGCUCGGGGUUAACGAACCCGACUAGGAUCCAUGAGGAAGUGGGUUCGAUCCCUGGCCUCGCCCUGUGUGUUGAGGAUCUGGCGUUGCCAUGAGCUGGGGUGUGGGUGGCACGCAGAUGCGGCCUGGAUCCUGCGUUGCUGUGGCUGUGGUGUAGGCCGGCAGCUGCAGCUCCGAUUUGACCCCUAGCCUGGGAACCUCCAUACGCCUCGGGUGCGAACAUAAAAAGACAAAAGACAAAAAAGAGAGAGAGAAAGGGGCAGGGAGGAACCCGCCAGGCUACAGGGCCGUGGGUCCUCCCUGGUGAGGAGCAAAGCCUGGUUAGGGCCAUGAGGUCAAGGAGCCCCCGGGACCUUAGAGAGGGCCCUUAACGCCCCCACACUUCAGUGUCAAAAUCGCUGAUUUGCAAGAUACUCAUGAGGAUUUAAUUAUACGGCGCCCCGCAUGUCUCAGGGCCUUAGGCGUAGGCACGCAGUAAAUGGCAGCAGAGUGUCUUGUAAUGCCCUGUGCGCGUAGCAUUUAUAACCACGGGUUUGAUGACAUUUUAUAACCCGCUUCUCUUUGUUUGUCUUUCCCCUCCCUCUCUCCCCACCCCUCUCUCUCUCUCUCUCUCUCUCUCUCUCUCUCUCUUUCUCUCUUCUUUCUCAGCCACACCUGCUGCAUAUGGAAGUUCCCAGGCCAAGGACGGAAUCCGAGCCAGGGCUGCAACUCACACCACAGCUGCAGCAAAGCCAGAUGCUUAACUCGCUGCUUCAGGCCAGGGAUGGAACCAGGGCCUCCGCAGAGACAAGCUGGUCCAUUAACCCACUGUGCCCACAGCGGGAGGCCCAUGUUUUUCUUUACUCUUUUGCUCCCUCCUUUUUCUGGCCCCGCUUGCCGCAUAUGGAAGUUCCUGGGACAGGGACUGAACUUGUGCCACAGCAGUGACCUCAACCACAGCAGGGACAACACUGGGUCCCUAACCAGAUGAGCCACCAGGGAACCCUGUCAUUGGGCGUCUUGUCUGAAUGAGGGCUUUACUGAGAAGCGGCGGUGGGAAGGGUUGACUGAGUAGGGCUGAGACUUCAGAACAAGGAGGAGAGAAACUCUUGCUUCCGCAUGGGGGCGGGGGGUGGGGUGGUCCUAGGCAGCUGGGAGCUCGCCUCGAGGGAGAGGAAGGCCAGAGCCAACGUCUCCGCUCAGGAGGCAGACUGAUGGUGGCUGGGAAACACUUUGGCCGGGAGUCACUCAAAACGUCCUUCAGCCUAGCCGGCUUCGGGAGGGCUGGGGGCUCAGGGAACCACCCCAGGCAGAGCUGGACGUGUUGGCAGGGACUACGCCCUUCCACUGACCCUGCGGGACAAGCCGGGAGCGGGGAGAGUGCGGCAGAGAGAGGCCCACAGGAGUGAGUUCAGAGGGAUGAUCAGAAGAAGGCUGGGCUGGGCUCUGAAUCUCAAACCACCGGGUCCUUACAAGCUUGGAGGGCCCCGCGCAUGGAGAGGCGACCCCUGGCCGCCUUAAACUUACAU
rnacentral:lncRNA from 1 species